UACGUAGGGUGCGAGCGUUAAUCGGAAUUACUGGGCGUAAAGCGUGCGCAGGCGGUUCGUUGAGUCCGUCGUGAAAGCCCCGGGCUUAACCUGGGAACUGCGAUGGAAACUAGCGAGCUGGAGUAUGGCAGAGGGGGGUGGAAUUCCGCGUGUAGCAGUGAAAUGCGUAGAGAUGCGGAGGAACACCGAUGGCGAAGGCAGCCCCCUGGGCUAACACUGACGCUCAGGCACGAAAGCGUGGGGAGCAAACAGG
rnacentral:rRNA from 1 species